rnacentral:rRNA from 1 species
AAACGUAGGUGGCAAGCGUUGUCCGGAAUUACUGGGUGUAAAGGGAGCGCAGGCGGGCUCGCAAGUUGGGAGUGAAAUCUAUGGGCUUAACUCAUAAAUUGCUUUCAAAACUGUGAGUCUUGAGUGGUGUAGAGGUAGGCGGAAUUCCCGGUGUAGCGGUGGAAUGCGUAGAUAUCGGGAGGAACACCAGUGGCGAAGGCGGCCUACUGGGCACUAACUGACGCUGAGGCUCGAAAGUAUGGGUAGCAAACAGGAUUAGAUACCCUGGUAGUCCAUACUGUAAACGAUGAUUACUAGGUGUGGGAGGAUUGACCCCUUCCGUGCCGCAGUUAACACAAUAAGUAAUCCACCUGGGGAGUACGACCGCAAGGUUGAA